GCACUGCUAAGGAGUCCCACCACAAGACGAAACGGCCUUCCAGUGC
rfam:Schistosoma rodhaini strain Burundi genome assembly, scaffold: SROB_scaffold0003518